rnacentral:rRNA from 1 species
GUACACUCCUACGGGAGGCAGCAGUGGGGAAUAUUGCACAAUGGGCGCAAGCCUGAUGCAGCCAUGCCGCGUGUAUGAAGAAGGCCUUCGGGUUGUAAAGUACUUUCAGCGGGGAGGAAGGCAAUACGGUUAAUAACCGUGUUGAUUGACGUUACCCGCAGAAGAAGCACCGGCUAACUCCGUGCCAGCAGCCGCGGUAAUACGGAGGGUGCAAGCGUUAAUCGGAAUUACUGGGCGUAAAGCGCACGCAGGCGGUCUGUCAAGUCGGAUGUGAAAUCCCCGGGCUCAACCUGGGAACUGCAUUCGAAACUGGCAGGCUUGAGUCUUGUAGAGGGGGGUAGAAUUCCAGGUGUAGCGGUGAAAUGCGUAGAGAUCUGGAGGAAUACCGGUGGCGAAGGCGGCCCCCUGGACAAAGACUGACGCUCAGGUGCGAAAGCGUGGGGAGCAAACAGGAUUAGAAACCCUUGUAGUCCCAU